GUUGCGUCACGGGUCGAUUUAAUCACGACUUAUGAGUGACAAUAUACUCGAUGUCGAAGGCAUUUGUAACCCAACAAGUGGGGAGUUUGAUUUGGUUGGGACAAAUCGAACGAUCUGCGGUAGCAUCGAUGAUGGGGAGGCGUGGAAACAAGUUGAGCCAUGCCGCAUGUUGUUGUUACUUUUCGAUGAUUUUGGAACUCAUAUUUCAUUUGUUGAUGAGAUUUAUCAACUGAUGUGGUGAUGUCAAAUUGUCUAUGGAUCUUAGUUUUGAUGCUUAACUUGUAUCUUCAUGAGGCAUGCACUACCGGUUCGAUUGUAUGGCAUGGUAUUGUUUCUUGGUUGCCUUAUGAUCGGAUUGUUGGUGUAACCGAUGACUUGAUUUGGCUUGUUAACCUUAAAACUUUCGAUGGAUGACAUUUUGAUGUUCGUCUGUUGAUGAAUGUUGUUGAAAUGUGAUGCAAUUGUUCGUUGGUUUGUGAUGCGUUGUUGAUGAUGACAUUCGUCUCGAGGUGAUGCGGUGUCAUGUUGCCUGUGUAUCCUAGUUUCUAGCUAUCGAGCUUAAAACGUGUGGAUUAUCGGUUAGUAACAUGGAAUCGCUUCCUUGGUCGAUGAAAGUCGUCCAAUGAUGCAGUGGUUUGUUUAAUUUGUUCUCGCAUCGCUCGGUGCAUUCUGUGGUCAUGUUGACUGUUGGCUGCUUGCUUGGCAAUUGAGCUUGGUGGGUGGCUACUGGUUGGGUGUCUUCGGGGAUGUCUACCGUAAAGGUGCAUGAGUGGUGUUUGGUUUGUUAUGGGUGGUUGGCUCUCUGCUUGCGCAACAACUUCUACCCGGCAUACCUCUUCAGUCUUGUUUCAUUGCUAGUAUUGCAUUGAAUGCAAGGUGGGUUUCCUGUGUUGCAUACCUAAUUAAUGGUAUCAUUGGAUGAAUCGAUUUUCCUUUCGUCUUGCGUUGCCUAUGCGAUGUGAGAUGAACCUUGAAGCAGCCUUUGUGAUCCAUUCUUUUGAUGCGUACGCSUCGAUUUUGUGGCCCAUUGAGUGUUGCUUGGUCUCAUGGAUAUGGAAUCUGGUGUGGGCAUGGAGUCYUAAUGGUUCCUUGUUUGCCCAAGUUUAGCUUUUCUAAAMCGAUUMUCU
rnacentral:misc_RNA from 1 species